GUAUGUCAAAGCUCUCAAAAUAAUCGAAACGUUUCAAUCACAUUUGAAUUAAUUGAAGAGGCGGCUGCAAGAAGGCGUGCAAAAUAUAGAACGCUUAUUGACAUGCAUACAAGUGAAGCAAAAUCGGCGAGGACAUUCACAAAAGCCUAAAUGGUUACCCUUAUCGACACAAUCAGAAAUGGAAGAUUUUCAAAAAGUCGAUGAACAAACAUAUGAGGAAGUUGUAGAGUAUUUAAAAUACGUUGGAAGGGGUUUACCCUAAAAGAAGCGAUAAAUUUCUCGUUUAAAGAGGCAAUAAAAGAUAGUGUCACGGCCGCAUUGGUACAUGGUUCGGUCGUGAAAAUGAAUCCAAACCUCUGUGUAACACAAAAAGUGUUACGGCUAUUUAUGNUGCCGUUUGUUUCAACAGAAAUUUUGAGAAGCCAAGCCGAGCAGAAUUUCAAGCUUGUAUACGAGAGACUCUGCGAUCAUCAAAGCAGCGAUACCGAACGANCACUCGUGUAGGAAGACGACAACAAAAUAGAAACCCACUUCGACAGAUGUGGAAUGACAAUGAAAACGACAUAGAAGAAAACAAAGAAGUACAGAACAUAGAACCGGAUACAGAAAAUACGGAUGAAAAUUAACACUAAUUCUUUAUAUAUUGUAUAUGUUGUUAUUAUAUUGUUUUAUAGUU